rnacentral:rRNA from 1 species
UACGAAGGGGGCGAGCGUUGUUCGGAAUUACUGGGCGUAAAGGGCGCGUAGGCGGCGACUCUAGUCAGAUGUGAAAGUCCUGGGCUUAACCUGGGGACUGCAUUUGAUACUGGGUUGCUUGAAUUCGGGAGAGGAUAGCGGGAUUCCCAGUGUAGAGGUGAAAUUCGUAGAUAUUGGGAAGAACACCGGUGGCGAAGGCGGCUAUCUGGACCGACAUUGACGCUGAGGCGCGAAAGCGUGGGGAGCAAACAGG